rnacentral:rRNA from 1 species
GGGGUAAACCUGAGAAACCCAAAAGAUCGAAUGGAGAGAUUCAUCGUCAGCUCAUUUUGUAUAUGUAUGAGUUAUGAUGCGNNAGUUACUCUUNNGUAGUAUUGCUNUGCACGUACUUUUAUAUUUAUUGGCAAGAUGUUGUCGGCGUGCACUUCUCCCCUAGUAGAACAUCGCGACCCAUUGGACGUUGAUCUACGACCCGAGNUGGUAGACUUUAAUAUUNNUUGNNUAAUGUUGAAGGCCCUCGGUGGNNNUCUGAUCGGCUGUCCGACGGUACUCGUACGGUAUUUAGCCGCAANUUUNNNNUUUGCGUUCAUGUCCAUCGCAAGCAAGGCUAAUUUCUGAUAGUNGCGGACUUAGUGCCGUCGUUGGGAUUGGUCAGCUGUUGGUUGUNAUGGAAAUUU